rnacentral:tRNA from 1 species
GUGGUGGCUCAGUGAUAGAGCACUUGCCUGGCAUGUGUGAGGCACUGGGUUCGAUCCUUAGCACCACA